rnacentral:rRNA from 1 species
CAUAAGCGGAGGAAAAGAAACCAACAGGGAUUGCCUCAGUAACGGCGAGUGAAGCGGCAAGAGCUCAAAUUUGAAAUCUGGUACUUUCAGUGCCCGAGUUGUAAUUUGAAGAUUGUACUCUGGAGUUGGCCCUUAUCUAUGUUCCUUGGAACAGGACGUCACAGAGGGUGAGAAUCCCGUGCGAUGGGGAGCCCGAUUCCAUGUAGAGUGCUCUCGAAGAGUCGAGUUGUUUGGGAAUGCAGCUCUAAGUGGGUGGUAAAUUCCAUCUAAAGCUAAAUAUUGGCGAGAGACCGAUAGCGAACAAGUACAGUGAUGGAAAGAUGAAAAGAACUUUGAAAAGAGAGUGAAAAAGUACGUGAAAUUGUUGAAAGGGAAGGUUAUUAGAUCAGACUUGGUGUUUGGCGAUACUCAGUCUCUCGUAGACUGUUCACUCGCCRUUCACUGGGCCAGCAUCGGUUUGGGUGGCAGGAUAAUGGCUGUUGAACGUGGCUUCUCCGGAAGUGUUAUAGCUUCAGCUGAUACUGCCUACCUAGACCGAGGACUGCGGCUU